CACGUAGGGUGCGAGCGUUUGUCCGGAAUUAUUGGGCGUAAAGAGCUCGUAGGCGGUGUGUCGCGUCGGCCGUGAAAACUUGCAGCUUAACUGUGGGCGUGCGGUCGAUACGGGCAUCACUGGAGUUCGGCAGGGGAGACUGGAAUUCCUGGUGUAGCGGUGAAAUGCGCAGAUAUCAGGAGGAACACCGGUGGCGAAGGCGGGUCUCUGGGCCGAUACUGACGCUGAGGAGCGAAAGCGUGGGGAGCGAACAGG
rnacentral:rRNA from 1 species